rnacentral:rRNA from 1 species
AACGAACGCUGGCGGUAUGCUUAACACAUGCAAGUCGAACGAACAAAAUUGGGGCUUGCUCCAAUUUUAGUGAGUGGCAAACGGGUGAGUAACACGUGGGAAUCUACCUAUCAGUACGGAAUAACAUUUGGAAACAGAUGCUAAUACCGUAUAUUCUCCAAGGAGGAAAGAUUUAUCGCUGAUAGAUGAGCCCGCGUAAGAUUAGGUAGUUGGUAGGAUAAUGGCCUACCAAGCCGACGAUCUUUAGCUGGUCUGAGAGGAUGAUCAGCCACACUGGGACUGAGACACGGCCCAGACUCCUACGGGAGGCAGCAGUGGGGAAUAUUGGACAAUGGGCGAAAGCCUGAUCCAGCAAUACCGCGUGAAUGAUGAAGGCCUUAGGGUUGUAAAGUUCUUUUAGUUGGAAAGAUAAUGACGGUACCAACAGAAAAAGCCCCGGCUAACUCCGUGCCAGCAGCCGCAGUAA